UAAAGGUAUUCCGGUAGACGAUGGGGAUGCGUUCCAUUAGAUAGUAGGCGGGGUAACGGCCCACCUAGUCUUCGAUGGAUAGGGGUUCUGAGAGGAAGGUCCCCCACAUUGGAACUGAGACACGGUCCAAACUCCUACGGGAGGCAGCAGUGAGGAAUAUUGGUCAAUGGGCGAGAGCCUGAACCAGCCAAGUAGCGUGAAGGAUGACUGCCCUAUGGGUUGUAAACUUCUUUUAUAAAGGAAUAAAGUCGGGUAUGGAUACCCGUUUGCAUGUACUUUAUGAAUAAGGAUCGGCUAACUCCGUGCCAGCAGCCGCGGUAAUACGGAGGAUCCGAGCGUUAUCCGGAUUUAUUGGGUUUAAAGGGAGCGUAGAUGGAUAUUUAAGUCAGUUGUGAAAGUUUGCGGCUCAACCGUAAAAUUGCAGUUGAUACUGGAUAUCUUGAGUGCAGUUGAGGCAGGCGGAAUUCGUGGUGUAGCGGUGAAAUGCUUAGAUAUCACGAAGAACUCCGAUUGCGAAGGCAGCCUGCUAAGCUGCAACUGACAUUGAGGCUCGAAAGUGUGGGUAUCAAACAGGAUUAGAUACCCUGGUAGUCCACACGGUAAACGAUGAAUACUCGCUGUUUGCGAUAUACUGCAAGC
rnacentral:rRNA from 1 species